rnacentral:lncRNA from 1 species
CCCUCUUGUUUGUUUAUUUUGAUUCAUGUAUAUGUACAUAUUUGUAACUUAGCGGAGAUAUCAAUAAACAAGCUUUGCUUCAUUUCAACGUAUUGUGUACAAAUGACAUUAGGAAAUAUUAUGAGAGAAUGAUCUCUACUUAUAGAAGAGAGUUUCUAGUUUCAUUCUGACAUUGACACAUGUCGUGUUAUGAUUGGCUUCUGAUGUUGACACGUGUCGCGCUGUGAGUGGCCUCCUGGUUGAAGGGAAACUCUUCUGGGUCCUUGACGGUAUAACGUUGACCGGUGCUAAGUAGUUUCAGGAUUGGUCAAGUAUGGUACAAACAAUGCUCCCCUAAGUUCUCGAAUAAGGG